CUAGAAUGCUUGGUCACAGAUUUGAUGAUUGGAGGUGAAAUAUGACACAGAGAGAUUUCAGUGCUAAAAACCACUGUACAAAGGUACAACUUGCAGAGAGUGCCCUGCGGUGCAUCCAGGAGACGACAGGAGGGGAAUGUUUCACCCUGUUCUGUUUCCACAAUUGCACUCAGCACCUCUCCAGCAGCUAAGUGAACCAUCUCCCGAGCUCUCCCAGUGCACAGGAGGCCGUCUCUCCCCUCUACAUGCCUGCCAUUAUUCUCAGCACCACCACUGAUGCUUCAGUCAUUAGUCUUCUGCCCUCAUUUCCCUUCCUUGUGGAAUACACUGAUUUAUCUCUAUGGCUUCAAAAAUCCU